AGGAGGAAGCGGAGGGGCACCUCUCACUGGCCGGGCUGCUGAAGUCUGAGGACAGCGGACCGGCGGCGUGCUCCGUCACCACCGCCGCCAGCUCCUCUGGUUUGGAGUAAAGAGGCUGUCCGGGCAGCAUCUGGCUCAGGCUGGAGUUUCAACGGAGUCCGAGUGUGGAAUCAGUCACAGCCGAUAAACCUCCUAACCGUGCAGAUAUCAGCCGAGCAGGUCCAAACUUCAGAUGACGUGCUCCGGGAAGCGUCCUCUGGUGUCAUCUGAGGGCAUCCUCACUGUACACACUCGGGUUUGCUGGAGAUGCUUCCCCCUGCGCCUCCUUCCUAUUGGCCAAGGCAUCAGCUCGCCCUCAUGCAUCUCAAAGCCCCCCGUAGGAAUACAUUUUCUCAGGGACGACCCACCCCUUCUUUAACUUCUCUCUGACACACAAUGGAGCUGAUCCAGAGAGGUUCCCCGAAACAUUUCCAUACGAGGACCCCCACCUCCAACACGCACACACUGCAGGAUCUUAUCUCAGGCUCGCCCCCCGUGGAGUAUAGACAUGUGUUGUUAUGACUUGGAUGUGGUGAAUUAGCAGGAGAGAAAAGGACAUUUAUCGGCCCCGUCUGCCAAUCAGCCAAACUCCAUUUAAAAAAUGAUCAAAACUAAAAAAAACAAAAAAAACAAAAAACGAAUGACCAGCAACAAUUAAGUUUAAUUUAGACCACACCGUAUAUAUUGUGAUCAUCAUUUACCUGUAUGGGAGUGAUGUCUCAUCAUUGGUAUCGUUUUGAAUGUAUUUGGAUAUAGAUUAUUUUUCAUUGAGUUUGGUAGGCUAAUUUCUUUAAAGAUCACCUAUGGAGAGACAUUAACCCUAACCUAACACAGCUCUGGCUGUAGGCAACAUGUUGGUAUGUGUCACUGGUCUAUACAGGCCUAAUAAUCCCUGCAGACAUCGGAUUAAUAAAGGAAAAGUAUACACACUUA